ensembl:lncRNA
CUGACACCGUACGUCCCAUCAGUCCAACCAAGGUGUUUGAAUUUUCAUCCAUCCUCUGGAUGUUCUGGAGCAUAGCAGUGGUCAGGUCUUGGUCUCUGGAUGUUCUGGAGCAUGGCAGUGGUCAGGUCUUGGUCUCUGGAUGUUCUGGAGCAUGGCAGUGGUCAGGUCUUGGUCUCUGGAUGUUCUGGAGCAUGGCAGAGGUCAGGUCUUGGUCUCUGGAUGUUCUGGAGCAUGGCAGAGGUCAGGUCUUGGUGUCUCCUCAACUGUUCCUCUGACCUCUCCAGAUACUGCAGCAGAUCCACAGUAGCAUCCCGCUUCCUUUUUCCUGCAUAAAAGCACCCAAAAAGUCUAAACAGAUCUUACUUGAUUUGGUCUGUUG